rnacentral:rRNA from 1 species
UACGUAGGUGGCAAGCGUUAUCCGGAAUUAUUGGGCGUAAAGAGCGCGCAGGUGGUUGAUUAAGUCUGAUGUGAAAGCCCACGGCUUAACCGUGGAGGGUCAUUGGAAACUGGUCGACUUGAGUGCAGAAGAGGGAAGUGGAAUUCCAUGUGUGGCGGUGAAAUGCGUAGAGAUAUGGAGGAACACCAGUGGCGAAGGCGGCUUCCUGGUCUGUAACUGACACUGAGGCGCGAAAGCGUGGGGAGCAAACAGGAUUAGAUACCCGGGUA